CAUGUGUGGGUGCAUGUGUGUGCAUGCAUGUGUAUGUGCAUGUGUGUAUGUGCAUGUGUGUGCGUGUGUAUUGGUGCAUGUGUGUGUGUGUGUUUCAGGUGCGGGCACAGUGACGUGUCCACGUGUGUGUGUGACUGCACGUGCCUGUGUACCUGGAGAAUGCUCAUGGUACUCUAUGCAUUCAGGGCCCAGGGAGCUCACCCGAGUGUACCAGGGUGCACAGCAAACGUGUCUGUGGGCAACAGAUGACAAUAGCCUUAGUCCUUGCUGGGGUCUUGUGUUACAAACCAGUCCCCUCCAGGGCCUUGUGGGAUCAGGGCAUUGCUUGAGGCAGAGGCCAAGCCCAGCCCUCCAGCAUCUGCCUCCAGGAGCGGCAAGAAGUUCAUAUUGUUCCUUGUCACCAGCCAGCAGGAAGGGAAAGGGGUUGCAGUGACCCCACGGUGACCUCACCCCAGGUUGGGAAGAUUCUGGGCGACCCAUGGAGGAAAGUCUGAAUCUCGACUCUGAUACCUUCUGGCUGUGCUACCUGAGCCAAGUUACCUCCCCUCUCUGGGCUAGAGGUUCUUUGUCCGGACAGUGCGGAAGGCAUGCCCCACCUCGGGGAAACUGGUGCUGUCACCUGUGUCUAGUACGCAGCCCAGAGCAGACCCUCAGUAUACGUCAGCUUCCUUCCUUCUGAGGCCACAGCGGAGGCUUGCACAGGAGGUAGGCGGGGGUGAGAACACCCAUCAUCCCCGACAGCCUGGGCGCCCGUGGGGCUGUCCCACCUGCAGAGGGCCACUUGGGGGGGGUUUCCAGGCUUAAAACCAGUCUGUCUCGUCUCUUGGAAACAGCUCCCCAGCAACCAAGAUUUCUUUUUCUGACUUCUGCUACUAAGUUUUUAAAAAUUCCGUUUGUGCACCCAAGAGAUAUUUAUUAAACAUCAAUUACGUGGCAGGCCAAGGCUCAUGGGAUCCCCCUCCCCCGCUGUGGCACUCAUGAGGGAGGGUGCGGGCCGAAACCAGGCAGUGCCGUCCAGCCGCACAUCCUGCUGUACCCCCCCACCCUGCCCCAAUUCAGCAAUUCAAUCCAGCGUCUUACUUGUUCAUCCUGGAGAAUUAGAGGGAGGUCAAGUUGUGUGUCAAUGAUUUGUCAGAGAACCUGUUGAAAUGUGAAUUAAGAAGCUAAGAAAAUACUUCUUAGCAACAUUUUGUUUUACUUUUGAGACAGAGUCUUAGUCUGUCGCCCAGGCUGGAGUGCAGUGAUCUGUGACUGUACCACUGCACUCCAGCACGGGUCACAGAUCAAGGCCCUGUCUCUUAAAAAAAAACAAGCUGGAGACAAGAGCUGGCUCACCUAGAAGGACGGAUUAGUAGGUGGGAGGGUGGACGGAGGAUGGAUGGAUGUGUGGAUGGAUAGAAGGAUCGUAUUAGGUUGGUGCAAACGUCUUUGCUAUUACUCUUAAUGGCUUUGAUAACAUGUUUGAAGGAAGAACGUUUGGUUGGAUAGAGAUAAACAGAUACCGGAGACAAAGGUGAAGAGAAAACACAAGUCUACAGGCCAGCAACUCUAUUUUGUUCACUACCUUUAGUCCCAGCCUGGCACAUAGUAGGCACUCAAUAAAGCCUGAUUUGUAGCAUU